rnacentral:rRNA from 1 species
GACGAACGCUGGCGGCGUGCUUAACACAUGCCAGUCGAACGGAAAGGCCCUUCGGGGUCCUCGAGUGGCGAACGGGUGAGUAACACGUGGGUGAUCUGCCCUGCACUUUGGGAUAAGCCUGGGAAACUGGGUCUAAUACCGAAUAGGACCACGCGCUUCAUGGUGUGUGGUGGAAAGCUUUUGCGGUGUGGGAUGGGCCCGCGGCCUAUCAGCUUGUUGGUGGGGUAAUGGCCUACCAAGGCGACGACGGGUAGCCGGCCUGAGAGGGUGACCGGCCACACUGGGACUGAGAUACGGCCCAGACUCCUACGGGAGGCAGCAGUGGGGAAUAUUGCACAAUGGGCGCAAGCCUGAUGCAGCGACGCCGCGUGAGGGAUGACGGCCUUCGGGUUGUAAACCUCUUUCACCAGGGACGAAGCGUAAGUGACGGUACCUGGAGAAGAAGCACCGGCCAACUACGUG